rnacentral:lncRNA from 1 species
AACAACAACAACAACAGCAGCAACAGCAGCAACAAUAACAACAGCCACAACGACCACGACACUGGCACCUGAUACAACAACAACAACAGAUCCUCCCCGAACUGCCACAACAACGAAAACAACAAUCGCUUCUGAUACAACUACGACGAUGACAACGACAACGACAACGACAACAACCGUUUCUGUUACCACAACGACUGAUAGUCCGGGCUGCAAUGCUUCGCUUACGGCAACUGUAACCACUUUCUAUUUUACCACUGAAAAUUAUCCAAAUAACUAUAACAGCAAUAUGAACUGAUACUGAUUACUGAUUACGUCACCCGCGGACACGGCAAUUACUUUGACAUUCGUGGCGUUCCAGUUCGAAGCUGACACCAAUUGCACACACGACUAUUUUUCUGUCUACGAUUCUUAUCCAAGUUGUAAAUCCGGCUAUACAACUUACACAGCCUCUUCCACCACACAGACCAUUUUAGCCUGUGUCAUCUUAUAUUGGAUCUCAACUUUGCGCUGAUGUGAAGUAAUGGAACGAAAUCAAAGGACAUAUAACAUGUUUUUGUGAAUUAAAAAAAAGACACCCUCGAGAACUUCAAGGAUUUUUGGAACAAUCGUCUGGUUGUCCCGUGCGACUGAAUUUUAUCUUCUCUACGGAUAUUUGCUUUUGUUUAUUUCUGGUCGCCAUUGCCAAAGAUUCUCUGUUUUGGAGAUUUAGGUGAAAUUUCACGUGUUAUGUUUCGAAAAACACGCACAAUCCUCAGUGAUGUUUCACACUUACUUUUUACAAUUAGCUUUUUUUCCUUCCGUAAUUUGAAACAGACUGAGUUUGAAAUAGAAAUCUAGAUCUACAAACAAAUAUUUUAAAAAUUGCAAAAGUGAAAAUUAGAUCUAGUAAAUGAAGAAAGCUGCAACUGAUUAUUCACUCAAAUAAAUUCCAUUAAUCACAAUUCCUUUAAUCCUUCAAAUCUUUGUUCAUUUCAAUGCUAGUUGCCAAGUCAGAAGAAAAUCCAACAUCCGAAAAUUGAUCAAGUCAAGAGUUUCAGGUAAAUAACUGAACUACGCACAUAAAACGAUAUCUUAAUCACAGUACGUUCCAAAUGCAUAAUCAUCACUCCAUCAGCCUCCUGGGAAUGUUGCCUACUUUACAAUCUCUCCUUGACACAACGCUGAAUUUAACUUAUGCCAUAAUCUAUAUGACGUAAUUUAAACAUCUUGAGCGAUAAAGUGAGGCCAUGGGCGGCACGAUGUGUGAGCUCUUACGCGUAGCUACCCCAAAUACAAUUUAGUAUCGAAGCUCAUGGAGUUCGUAGGUAAAGUAAAUUAGCUGUCAAAGGUGCGGAUAAAAUAUAAGUCAAAGGCGGGAUAGUGCAUGUUCUUUAAGUUUAAAGGCUUGUUGGCAAAUAUGAGAUUUUGACAUUAAUAGUCAAAUUCACAGACACUUGGAAGUCUAGCCCCCUCCCCUCCCCGCUCCUGCCAAAUAUCAGCCAAUAUUUUUAGUCUUUUAAAACA